AGAGAGAGACAUGCGCGCAUAUCAAUAAGCGGAGGAAAAGAAACUAACUAGGAUUCCCUCAGUAACGGCGAGUGAAGCGGGAAGAGCUCAAAUUUGAAAUCUUCAAGGUUCUACCUUGACGAAUUGUAGUUUAAAGAAGUGUUUUCUGUUGGAGUUUUGGUAAAAGUUCUUUGGAAUAGGACAUCAUAGAGGGUGAGAAUCCCGUAUUUGACCAUUAUUUCCAGCUUUGUGAUACACUUUCAAAGAGUCGGAUUGUUUGGGAAUGCAGUCCAAAACGGGUGGUAAAUUUCAUCUAAAGCUAAAUAUUGGCGAGAGACCGAUAGCGAACAAGUACCGUGAGGGAAAGAUGAAAAGAACUUUGAAAAGAGAGUUAAACAGUACGUGAAAUUGUCAAAAGGGAGGCGUUUGACACCAGUGUUGUUUUCUCGAAAAUCAAUUAAAAAAGGCAGGAUUUUGUGUUGUAUUGACUUUAUCAGCUUUCUGCACUCUUUUCUUGUCUUUUUUAAUGCACUUUUCGUUUAACAAGUCAACAUCAAUUUCUUUUGUUGUAAAAGGGUCAUUGGAAGGUGGCUUUCUUUUCGGAGAAAGUGUUUAUAGCCUUUGACUCCUGCAAUCGGAGAGACUGAGGUCUGCAGCGUAGAUCCUUCGGGGUUAGAUACAUUUGUGCUAAGUUAUAGCUUUUAUAGACAACUUGUUGACUAUGAUCAGUCAUGUAGCUUACUCGCUUAUGCUAUUUUACCUACGCUUAGGAUGUUGAUGUGAUACUGCGAGCA
rnacentral:rRNA from 1 species